rnacentral:lncRNA from 1 species
GAUCACAUCAUAUUUCUUUGAAAUUGUCAAAUUUUUUGACCACCUAAAGCAUCAAGAAUCACUAGGAUAGGGAUUUUAGCAACAAAACUCGUGUCUACUUUAGAAGUUUUGGAUAAAUAUAAUAUCUUUUGUUUCAUACUUGUUACUAUGAUCAAAACUUUUAGACCUUCCAGGAGGAACUUUUUUUUUGGCUUUUGCAUAGAAUUAUACAUUAUUAUAACAAGCCUACAAUUCCAUUAUGGUUCUAUUGCUUUUUCAAAUUUGCUUUUUAUUCGACUUGAGCAUUUUCCAUAAUCAACUAUAGUUAAUCAUUCAGUUGUUUCCCAAUGGAGCAUUCUUCAUAUUUUUUCCUGUGAUGACUAUUUUAAUUUGAAUAUUUGUUUUUUAUCUCCAUAUUUUUUUAAUUUGUUAAUUAAAUGCAUAGAUGCAAAAUUUUUUAGAAUUGAAAAUUCCAUUAAAUUUUAUUUACAAUUUUCUCACAAUUUUCUUUAUUUUCAAGUUGUCUACUUAAAUUUUUCCAACGCUAAAUUGUUUGUGAACUGCUUUCAAGCGAGCUUCUAAUGCCGUAAAUUUGCUGGUAAAAAUGAAAUUCUUGUUGUUUAAAUGUUACGUGUAGUAGUUUAUUUUUUUUAUGUUCUGAACAAUCUAUAUAUAUAUGAUUCUCUAAUGCAUUUUUUUGUUUUCACUUUUUUAGUCUAUUCUUCUUCUGCUUGUCCUUCAAAUAUUCCAAUUGCUUCUUCUCAGCCCACUAUCCCUUCUGAUAUUCCAUCGUCAUCUACUUCGGUUCUACCUCCUCCGGCUGCGUCCAUUCCCAGGACUUCCUCGGGUCCUAUUGAUCCAUCAGUUGCUCUUAUGGGUCAGAUGUCUGUGCUUAUCGAGCAGCAAGCUCGUAUAAUGGGCAAGAU